CAUGUCCUUUUGAUUAUAAUUUAAGGUCUAAUCUGCUCAAUGAAUUGUUUUAAAUUGCCGCGGUAUCUUGACCGUGCGAAGGUAGCAUAAUAAUUAGUUUUUUUAUUGAAAGCUGGAAUGAAUGAUUGGACAAGAAAAUUUCUGUCUCUUAUUUAAUUGAUUUUAAAUUUAACUUUUGAGUGAGAAGGCUCAAAUUUUUGUUAAAGACGAGAAGACCCUAUAGAGUUUAAUAUUGUUGGUAAUAAAUUAAUUUUUGGAAUUUUAAUUAUUUGUUUAUUCCAUUAUUUUGUUGGGGUGACAGGAAGAAAAAAUAAACUCUUCUAAUUUUUAAUCAUUAAUUUUUGAAUAUGUAAUCUAGGUUUAACUAAAUUUAAGAUAAAUUACCUUAGGGAUAACAGCGUAAUUCUUUUUUAGAGUUCUUAUUGAAAUUAGAGUUUGCGACCUCGAUGUUGGAUUAAAAUUUAUUUCUGGUGCAAAAGCUGGGAUAUUGAGUCUGUUCGACUUUUGAAAUUUUACAUGAUCUGAGU
rnacentral:rRNA from 1 species